GUGGGGAAUAUUGGGCAAUGGGCGAAAGCCUGACCCAGCAACGCCGCGUGAAGGAAGAAGGUUUUCGGAUUGUAAACUUCUGUCCUCAGGGAAGAAGAAAGUGACGGUACCUGAGGAGGAAGCCCCGGCUAACUACGUGCCAGCAGCCGCGGUAAUACGUAGGGGGCGAGCGUUGUCCGGAAUGACUGGGCGUAAAGGGCGCGUAGACGGCUGUCUAAGUCUGGAGUGAAAGUCCUGCUUUCAAGGUGGGAAUUGCUUUGGAGACUGGAUGGCUGGAGUGCGGAAGAGGUAAGUGGAAUUCCCAGUGUAGCGGUGAAAUGCGUAGAGAUUGGGAGGAACACCAGUGGCGAAGGCGACUUACUGGGCCGUAACUGACGUUGAUGCGCGAAAGCGUGGGGAGCGAACAGGAUUAGAUACCCGGGUAGUCC
rnacentral:rRNA from 1 species